rnacentral:misc_RNA from 1 species
GUAUAUUGUUUAUUAUAGGCUGUUUAAGGCCCAGAUAUUUCAUUCUUUAGACAUAUGUGUAUGAGUAUGAGAGACAUAGAUCUGGAAUGUCCAAAGGAAAGCUGGCUUGUGCAGCACAGCAGUCUUAUAUAACACAACCCAAGAUUGGGUUAUUCCAGAACUACAAAAGGUGCACAGGUGGAAAUAUAAAGAUGACAGGCGUGCACAUGCUUCCUAGAAAGCCAGCUACAACCCAUCAAGUUUAUUCUGUAAUGAUCCUUCCGCAGGUUCACCUACGGAAA